GGGCCUGUAGCUCAGCUAGGUAGAGCAACCGGCUCUUACUUCAAUUGGAAAGAUUGAAGGAGAUACCGGUUGGCCAAGGGUUCGAAUCCCUUCAGGCCCG
rnacentral:tRNA from 1 species